AUUGAACGCUGGCGGCAGGCCUAACACAUGCAAGUCGAGCGGAUGAAGGGAGCUUGCUCCUGGAUUCAGCGGCGGACGGGUGAGUAAUGCCUAGGAAUCUGCCUGGUAGUGGGGGAUAACGUCCGGAAACGGGCGCUAAUACCGCAUACGUCCUGAGGGAGAAAGUGGGGGAUCUUCGGACCUCACGCUAUCAGAUGAGCCUAGGUCGGAUUAGCUAGUUGGUGGGGUAAAGGCCUACCAAGGCGACGAUCCGUAACUGGUCUGAGAGGAUGAUCAGCCACACUGGAACUGAGACACGGCCCAGACUCCUACGGGAGGCAGCAGUGGGGAAUUUUGGACAAUGGGCGAAAGCCUGAUCCAGCCAUGCCGCGUGUGUGAAGAAGGUCUUCGGAUUGUAAAGCACUUUAAGUUGGGAGGAAGGGCAGUAAGUUAAUACCUUGCUGUGUUGACGUUACCAACAGAAUAAGCACCGGCUAACUUCGUG
rnacentral:rRNA from 1 species